rnacentral:rRNA from 1 species
UAGCCCAAGAGAUCGGGAUAACACCUGGAAACAGAUGCUAAUACCGGAUAAUAACAGAUGAUGCCUAUCAACUGUUUAAAAGAUGGUUCUGCUAUCACUCUUGGAUGGACCUGCGGUGCAUUAGCUAGUUGGUAGGGUAACGGCCUACCAAGGCGAUGAUGCAUAGCCGAGUUGAGAGACUGAUCGGCCACAUUGGGACUGAGACACGGCCCAAACUCCUACGGGAGGCAGCAGGC